rnacentral:lncRNA from 10 species
UUGUCUUCAUCAGUACAUGUCCUUCUAUGUACACUGCCCUCAGAAUACUGUUGAACACUACAGCCAACUUAAAAGAUACUCUAAUAAACCAAUUCUACUCCAAUAAGUUAAUCAUUAUAAUGUUAUGCUUUCGUCAGGUGCCAACGGGGCUUAAGAAAACAGUGCCUAAAAGAAUAAUGUAAACUGUGGGCAAGAGUGUGAUAUAGAGAUUUUCCAAGUCCUAUGUUCAUACGUGUGAGUGUGAUAGGUUUACAGACUAACUCCAGACAAAGCAAGCCACUAUUCCUCUUUCAGAAGGGCCAACUCAGGCUGAAGUAGCCUAUUGCCUGGGGGAGGAAGAAGGGAAAUAAUAAUCAUUAUUCCCUUCCUCAUAAAUGAUAUGAAUAAUAGGGGCCAACAUUUACUGAUUGCUUUGUAUUGGGUAUUUUAUCAGUACCACAAUUAAACCACAAUUCCAUGAAGUAGGUGUUAUUGUUAGUCUCAUUUCCAGAUGAGGAAACUGCGACAGGGAGGCUAUGUAAUCUCACCAUGCUAGUGCUAUGCAGGCUUGGGACUCAACAGGUAUUCUUUCAAACGGCAAAAUUCUCAUUCUUUUUGUUUUUUUCUUUUUUUUUUUUUUUGAGACAAGGUCUCACUCUGUCACCCAGGCUAUAGUGCUGUGGUGCAAUCUCAUCUCAUUGCAGCCUCGACCUCCCAGGCUCAAGUGAUCCUCCCACCUCAGCCACCCAAGUAGCUGGGACUACAGGCACACAUCACACGUCUAGAUAAUUUUAUUUUUUGUAGAGAGAGGGUCACACUAUGUUUCCCAGGCUGCUCUCAAACUCUUGGACUCAAGCAAUCCUCCUGCCUCAGCCUCACAAAAUGCUGAGAUUAUAGGUGUGAGUCACGGCACUGACCCAGAAUGCUCACUCUUAACCAGUGCACUGAUCCCCACCAGUUAUUGCUUAUCGUGUACCUAUUAUGCGCAUGGCACUGUGCGAACCUUAAACAUAUUAAUUUCAUUGAAACCUCAUGGCAAGCCUUGGAGAUAGGUAUUAUCAUUAUCCCCAUCUGACAGAUGAGGCUCAGGAAAGAAAGGAAACUGAGUUAAUGUGGAGCUGGAACCGACGACACGCAUUCUGACUAAGAGCUCUCUUAUUCAGCACGACUGAUUCCUAUUCAAGUUUAGGUAUUUCUCUUUCUACUUCAUUUAGGUUAAAAGGCUUUCCUCUCCAGGAGCCUGGCAAGCCAAGCCCGCCCUCUGCGGGGCAACAGCACGAGGCAUUACCCCUACAGACCACUUGGCGGCGCCGUCCGUCCUGAGUUGGAGAGAACGCAACCCUGUGAAGCUCAGAGCACUUCCUGGUUGGAAUCCUACAACAUGUCCAUGGUGAGCUGCAGCUCGGUUUCUUUGAGUGCAAUUUCAAUGUCAGUGCCAUUGCUCUGCAUCAGGACUGAACCAGUGACCACCUGGGUCUCAGAUAAGCAGAAGGAUUUGCAUCCUAGAUUUUCAAGCCAGUUGUUCUAUUUUUUUUAUUUCUGAUUACAGCAGAAAGACGUAGUUACAUUAUCUUUUAAAAUGUGAACAAAACAAAGUGCAAGGUCUGGUCGACCUUCACACACACUCCCCAGAGGCAGCCACUGUCAUCCAUUGAGUGUGGCAUCUUCCUAACCUCCUGGGUAUGGUUUCAUGCAUGUACCUGUGGCGGGGAGAAAGCUAGGUUUUUUUGUUGUUGUUCUUUUGCAUAAACAUGAUUGUAUUUUAAAAUUUAUUCUACAACUUGUUUUCUUCAAUUAACAGUACAUCUCAAAGAUCUUUUUAUGUCUGUAUCCUUAUUUCUUUUUAACUAUUGCAGUCUUUUAUACCUGAACUCAUUUAACCAUUCUCUUGUUGUUAAUUCUAAUUUUUAAAGCCAAGUUUUUCUUAAUCCCCCUCAAGUCCCAAUUUUGUUGUAGCUGGUUAGAUUCUGAACAGCCUCUGGGCCUAAAGAUUCAAGUCACCAGGAAAUGAAAUCCUUAUGGUCAAGAGUUCCACCUAGCUCCAUAUUCUUCCCAUACUACAAGCCCAAAGCCCUGGCAAGCUGUGAAACUGGAGUCCCUCCUCCCAAGAGGAAAGAGUGGGAAAGAGGAUGCCCACAUAGGGCCAAAAUGGGCUGAUGACGACUUUACUCCUCAGAACAUUGCUCAGAGCUGAGGACAUCUCUGUAACUUUAAAAGCCUCCUAAUUCCCUCCAAGAAUCUGCAUGGCUGAGAUCCCUUCUGAAGAGGUGAAGCUGGUGAAACUUUCUCUUCCUUGAGGCCCUGGUGACCCUCAUGACUCAGUCCUUCCCCAGGCCCACCCCUCACUUCCAACACCCACAAGUAUCUCCCAGGGUUGAAACCUCUACUUCAGAACGCAGACUUGGAAUUGAAUUGCAGGGAAAUGGUGGGCACAUCCUGUGGGUACUUGUGAAACACAUGGACCUCAGAUCCUCAGAUAACCCUAAAAGAAAUGAUGUGGGCUGGCCACGGACUGGUCUAGGGACAGUGUCACUUCAGGCAAAAUGAGAGGUAGAGAAUCAGGGUAGAAAUCAGCAGAUUACAGGCACAAUUCCACAAGGGAAUGUGCUGACUUCGUGACCCUUAACUCCAUGCCCUUUCUACCCAGCUCCAAAAGGAAUUCACUUGCCUUUUCUCCAGCUACAACUAAAGAGUCUGUGGAAGGAGAAAUAGGUAAAAGUCUCAUCCCAUGAAUUUCAGACACAUCUCUGGCGCACCCAGCAUUUUGUACAUUAGCCAAAAAGCACAUAUUCCUAGUUGAAUACAAUCACACACAUAUAACACAAAUGGAGUCAUGUUCACAAUCAGGACACCAAACUGAAUCUAUGUUGAAGAUGUUCUGUAUUCUAACACCCAACAGAAUAAUGCACUGGAGCCAUACCGGACAAACAACUUACAAAAAUGGAUCUCAGACUGGAAAAUACAUUUGAAAAAAAUGCAAUCUCACUAGUCAUAAAAAAACAUACAAAAUUUUAAACCGGG